GGCUACUUUUCCUGCUUGGUGAAUAUAUUGAUGUUCCAGGCGAGGCCCCAUCACAACUGGGACCAUCCGAGACCUUGCCGUAUGUCUUCUCCAUUUAGCUAUUGCUGAGUCUUAGCCCUUAUAACAAAGCUAAAAUCCUAAGUAUAGGUUGUACGUCUAGUGAGUUCUGUGAGUCAUUCUAGCAAAUUGUGAAACUUAAGGAGGUCAUGAAAACCCAUAAAGUUAUAGCUGGUUUGUCAGAAAUCCAGGUAGCCCUUAAGGCUUGGUACUGACAUCUCAAAUGAGGGCAGGUUUUUGGAGAACUGAGCUAUUAAACCUGUUGUCUUAGUCCAUCAGAUACCACAGACUGGGUAACAUACAUGGAAAGAAAUUUAUUUCUGGGGCUGGAGAUUUAGCUCAGUGGUGCCACUACCUGCCUCACAAGCACAAGGUCCUGAGUUCAAUCCUCAGUACAAAAAAAAUUUAAAGGAAUUUAUUUCUCACAGCUUUGAAGACUGGGAAGUCCAAUAUCAAGGUCCUGACCUGUGAUGAGGGCCUUCUUGCUGCCUGAAAUCUCAAAGGAAACUUUGGACAUGGACUUUUCAAAGUGUUAUGACUUUGGCAACUCUUAAAAAUAGACCACCACCUGCCUCGCAAGUGCAAGGUCUCAAGUUCAAUCCCCAGUGCCAAAAAAACCAAAAACCUAAACACAUUUUGUAUAAAAGGAUACAUGUGUCAGGUAUUGUGUCUAAGACAAUCACAAACUAGAGGAAAGGCCUCAAGACCUGAAUGGAUCUUAGACAUGGAGAGGAACAGAAAUCAGACCCUUUCUGCUCAAAGAAUCCCUCAGUCCCAGGAACUCUGUACACUCUCAAGGUUGGGGACUAAGGGCUGGGAAAAGUCAGACAAAAAAGCUGGUCUCUGUCAGAAAUUUAACGCUGGAGCCAAGGAAGCCUGGACUAUGAAAUGCAGCACCUCCACCCUGCCUUUUCCAUUCCCAUAUACAAUGUCCAGUGAGAAGCAGGGCCAAGUAGAAGCAAAGAAAAUGACGAAGGAUGCAUAGAGAGGGACAGGAAGAAGGAG
rnacentral:lncRNA from 1 species